CUGCAUAUUAGAAUUAUAAAAACAUUAAAACAAGAAAGAGGCAUUGAUGAUGUCUACUUGAUCCAAUCUUAUUUCCCUUUAAAUUUCAUCUUUAUCCUUGGUUAGAUAAAAAUGAAGUUAGUUCCAAGAGCAAAGGUUUUACACUCACUUUGCCAUCAGUUAUAAGUACUUAUUAUAUUAAUAAGAUACAAACAUACAGUAAGUUUCUCCACGAAAAUAUGCUAAAAUAAAAUUUCAAAGCCACAAUUGUUCCAGUUCAAAUCGUGCACCUAUCCAGCAUUACCUACUUGAUACUGCAUGUAUAAACCCAAUUUAUGUACAGGACAGAAUACCUAUGCAUUGACACAUUACCUUACAUUACCUUAAAGGGGUCACACCCACACUUUAAACAACUAACUUCAAAUCGAAGCAUAGAUAAUUCUAUCUAAACAUUAAAUCAAAUAAAGUACCAAGGUCGAGAUUAAAAAAAUUACUUACUAAUAACCAUCUCUAAGACCACCAAACUUUUCCUGGCCAGCAGUGUCCCAGCAGUAGAAACGGAUUUUGCCACAAUUUGUAAAGAAAUCCAACGGAUGAACCUCCACACCAAUAGUUG
rnacentral:lncRNA from 1 species